rnacentral:misc_RNA from 1 species
CCCGUGAGGGCGCGGCAUAAGCCGCGACGGCCGGUCGGCCUUGCGAGGCUUCGCCUCGAGGUCAACAGCUCGUUACUGGCAGAGCGCGGUCUUUUAGGGCUUGUAGCUCAGUUGGUUAGAGCGCGCGCUUGAUAAGCGUGAGGUCGGAGGUUCAAGUCCUCCCCAGGCCCCACCAUCUCCUUGAUGUCUGCCAUCUUCUUGGUGGUUCUAUCGGGAACACAAUCAGGGGCCGUAGCUCAGCUGGGAGAGCGCCUGCUUUGCAAGCAGGAUGUCGUCGGUUCGAUCCCGUCCGGCUCCACCACUCGCGCAAUCCCGAAGGGAUUGUCGCGGUUCGCGACGAUCCUGCGGAUCGCGCGGAGGUGUUGAGUAGAGAUGUGGUGAAAAAAGUCAUUCGUAUAAAGGUUUGUGGUGAGCUUCUUGGCUCUCCGCUUGUUCUGUUUGACAUCGUAAAGAGAAGAUUUGUUCGAACUUCAUGGGCCGCAAGGUCUUAUGAUUUGUCGCAAGGGACGCUCAAUCCCUUGCAUAUGAUGGGUUUGCCUAACCGCGCCCUCGAACCGAUCUCGAGAAGCUGGUCUUUUUGUGCCAAUGACAUCGGAUCAAAUCCCGCACAGGAUUUGAUCCAGGCGACAAUCCUUCGGAUUGCGCGGACGCUAAACUCGCGAGGGUUUGGCUGAAGCGACAAUUCCUUCGGGAUUGCGCAGGUGGGCAUUGGCAAUGAGAACGAUCAAGUGUCUUAAGGGCAAUUGGUGGAUGCCUUGGCAUGCACAGGCGAUGAAGGACGUGAUACGCUGCGAUAAGCUACGGGGAGGUGCGAAACCCUUCUUGCCUCCAACCCCCAUUUCGUAACGG